UCCGUAAGUGGAUAAUUAAGUCAGAGGUGAAAUCCUGCAGCUCAACUGUAGAAUUGCCUUUGAUACUGUUGAUCUUGAGUCAUUAUGAAGUGGUUAGAAUGUGUAGUGUAGCGGUGAAAUGCAUAGAUAUUACACAGAAUACCGAUUGCGAAGGCAGAUCACUAAUAAUGUACUGACACUGAGGGACGAAAGCGUGGGGAGCGAACAGGAUUAGAUACCCUGGUAGUCC
rnacentral:rRNA from 1 species